UGCUUGCAUCAUGAUUUACAUUUGAGUGAGUGGCGAACUGGUGAGUAACACGUGGGAAACCUGCCCAGAAGCGGGGGAUAACACCUGGAAACAGAUGCUAAUACCGCAUAACAACUUGGACCGCAUGGUCCGAGUUUGAAAGAUGGCUUCGGCUAUCACUUUUGGAUGGUCCCGCGGCGUAUUAGCUAGAUGGUGGGGUAACGGCUCACCAUGGCAAUGAUACGUAGCCGACCUGAGAGGGUAAUCGGCCACAUUGGGACUGAGACACGGCCCAAACUCCUACGGGAGGCAGCAGUAGGGAAUCUUCCACAAUGGACGAAAGUCUGAUGGAGCAACGCCGCGUGAGUGAAGAAGGGUUUCGGCUCGUAAAACUCUGUUGUUAAAGAAGAACAUAUCUGAGAGUAACUGUUCAGGUAUUGACGGUAUUUAACCAGAAAGCCACGGCUAACUACGUGCCAGCAGCCGCGGUAAUACGUAGGUGGCAAGCGUUGUCCGGAUUUAUUGGGCGUAAAGCGAGCGCAGGCGGUUUUUUAAGUCUGAUGUGAAAGCCUUCGGCUCAACCGAAGAAGUGCAUCGGAAACUGGGAAACUUGAGUGCAGAAGAGGACAGUGGAACUCCAUGUGUAGCGGUGAAAUGCGUAGAUAUAUGGAAGAACACCAGUGGCGAAGGCGGCUGUCUGGUCUGUAACUGACGCUGAGGCUCGAAAGUAUGGGUAGCAAACAGGAUUAGAUACCCUGGUAGUCCAUACCGUAAACGAUGAAUGCUAAGUGUUGGAGGGUUUCCGCCCUUCAGUGCUGCAGCUAACGCAUUAAGCAUUCCGCCUGGGGAGUACGGCCGCAAGGCUGAAACUCAAAGGAAUUGACGGGGGCCCGCACAAGCGGUGGAGCAUGUGGUUUAAUUCGAAGCUACGCGAAGAACCUUACCAGGUCUUGACAUACUAUGCAAAUCUAAGAGAUUAGACGUUCCCUUCGGGGACAUGGAUACAGGUGGUGCAUGGUUGUCGUCAGCUCGUGUCGUGAGAUGUUGGGUUAAGUCCCGCAACGAGCGCAACCCUUAUUAUCAGUUGCCAGCAUUAAGUUGGGCACUCUGGUGAGACUGCCGGUGACAAACCGGAGGAAGGUGGGGAUGACGUCAAAUCAUCAUGCCCCUUAUGACCUGGGCUACACACGUGCUACAAUGGAUGGUACAACGAGUUGCGAACUCGCGAGAGUA
rnacentral:rRNA from 2 species